UCCUUGCUCAGGCCCUUUCGGUAUACUUCCUCCUUGUCCCGUGGAUGUCUGAAUGAGGACAGGUGACUUUGGAAUGAAGGGAAUAUGAGUGUUUUAUUAAAGACUUUCUUUUGCUAUGAAUCAAUAACUGCAGGGCCAGGUAGUCUGAGCCCCUGGUCGAUGGGUAGGUUCUUGGGACUCUAAAGCCUUCAAGAAGUCAGAUUAGCAGUCCUUACAUGAAGCGCCCAGCGCAGCCCAAGCCCCACUGCCUGCGUGGAGCAGGCCAGAGCCUGGAGACUGCAGUCCCGCUGGCCUGACUGCCAGGACCCCGGCCGGAGCGGAGGGAGGCGCCGGCUGCAGAUGCGGUGCACCGAAAGCCCGGAGCCGGCGGCUUGUGAGCCCGCACCCAGGCCGGGCGCAGCGGGGACACUCCCAAGCGAGCCCAGGCGAGCCCAAUGCGUCCCCAUGCGCCCCGAGGCUCACCCACUCUCUCUCGCCUGUUAUGAAGCCUGUCGGGGACCACCGCGCGCGUGUGGACAGCGGGGCUCUCCUCGCACUGACAGCAGCUUCCUGCGGCAGCUUCACAGAGCCUCGUGGAGAAGCUUACAAACGCGCAGCCCUGGGCCACCUGCAGUAUGGGUCGCCUGGAGUCGGAGCCUGGAAGGAGGUGGAGGGAGGGGCACCGAGAUGCAGGACGAGGGAGCAGCUCAACCUCAUGCGCGCGCGCACACACGCGAGUUUGUCACCUUCUCAGCUGAAACCGGCAGGCAGAAGGGAGGCCGUACAGUCCCAUUCUUCACCUGGACUCGAUCUGUGUCUCCAAAUAGUAACUUGGCUGGGACAGGAAGACCAAGCUACUACAAGCUGGCUGUUUGCAGAAAAACAGGACCAGCCCUUGCCCAUGGGAAAUGCUCGCUGUCUACUGCUCUAGCAUAGUCUUUAAGACCCCACUCACAGCCAAUAGGGCCACAGGUAGGCAAAGGUUUCCAGGUGACGAAGAGCCAAACACCCAGAUUUCAGAGACCUGUGGAAGGCCACAUGGUGAGAGCUCACACCUCUGGAGGGGCCCCGGCUCUCCAUAGGUUGUCUUGGGAUGUGUCUGAUCUGGGUUGCCUGUCCUACCAAACCAGGGGCUCCCCAGGGGCAGGGACUUGUCUUUGCUACUCUUGUCACUUCCAAGUCUAGCACUGGGCCUGGCACAAGGGAGUCUCUCAAUAAGCUUGUCAUUCAGGCAUGAAUCGGCUAGUGACAGAGAUAAGAUUUAAAUCCAAUAGGGAGAAAUGACCAACUCCCCAGAAGAUCAGGACUCCAAGAAGAAGCAUCAAAAGAAGUGGGAGUAGCCAUGGGGUUAUCUAGUCCCGACUCCUCAGUUACAGAAAGUGAAGGGCCAGGGAGCUGAGGCCACUUACUAAAUCCCAUACAGGUCAUUUAAACAGGGCCUAAACUGCUCCCCGGUGGGGAAGGACAGGGAGGCAGCACAGGGGUGCUCCACCGGGAGGUGUGAUUGCAGGCUGCGGGGCACACACAUGCCGCAAAAACAAAAGUGCACGAUUCAACCCACUUCCGCAGCAGCAGUGCAGUGAUGUCUGAGAUCUAAGCAUUGAUGGAUGCCGAGUUUUAAUGACCCAAAUCUCUUCAUCCUCCCUCGCUCACGGAAAGAAGAAAAAAAAAUUUUUUUUCUGGUAUGCUAAUAUCAUCAUAAAAUGCAAUAAAUUUCUAAGCCACACAGAGAUCAUUUGUGCAGCGGGGGGCCAAACACCGUGUUUUUUUUUCCUGGGUCCGAGAAGUGGGCCAAGAAGAACGUGGAUUAUGGGAAGAGGGUGACUAGGUGGGUGCCUGGCACACAGGCCUCCAGGGAGACCCUGAGCUGGCUCCAUCUGCCAGUGGACACUUGUCUUACUGUCCAGACACACCUACUUCACAGGGUUUUUUGUCACUUUUAGAUACUCAAAUGGCUACAUAUGUGUAAGAUAUUAUUAUUCCAGAAUAAAGAUCAAAGAGAGACUAUUGCUGACUGUCCUGGAGUUUUAAAGGCAAAAGUGGUCAAGGCCACUCCUAAGGCAUCUGCAUUCUGCUUUGUUCUAGGGGUGAGGUCUCUUCCCUGACAGGACAUGUACAGUUGUCCCUCCAUAUCCACAGGUUCUGAAUCUGUGGAUUCAACAGACUCCAGAUGGAAAAUAUUUGAAAAACAAAUUGCCUCGGUACUGAACAAGUACAGAUGUAUUUUUUUCUUGUCAUUAUUCCCUAAACAAUACAGCAUAACAACUAUUUACAUAGCAUUUACAUUGUAUUAAGUCUUGUAAGUGAUCUAGAGCUGACUUAAAGUAUACAGUAGGAUAUGCACAGGUUACCAUGAUACCACACCAUUUAAUGUAAGGGACUUGGCACCUGCGGAUUUUGAUAUCCAUGGAGAGUCAUGCUGCCAAUCCCCUGAAGAUACUGAGGGACGACUGUAUUCAUCUUGCUCCUAAUACUAACAUGAGGUCCUCCUAAGCAGAGUCUCCACCCUUCCCCGAGCAGGUGUCUGCCCUGUGGCAGGUUCACGCCAGCUCCAGGGGACAUCUCAAGAUGGUCCGUGCCCUCCUUCCCAUCCCUGCUCGUCACAGUCAGGACAGGGGCCCCUUCUCUCCUUCUCGUGUCUUAGGAAAAGGCCUUUCUCCCCAUUUUGCAGUCUUGAUGCAUGGGGUGACCAAGGCGGAACAGUGAGGGAGGGGACAGGUCCUAUGGGGCUCUGGUGGGAGGAGCCUCAGCCUCUGGAUUCUGCUCAAAGCCAGUGAUUCCCCUGCUCCACCAAGAGUUUUGUAAGCCCCAAGAAUUUGAUGCUGUGACCUAAAGAAAGAGAAAUGUGGGGCCUGGGUCUACUGGCGCUUACUCAGGCCUUCCUUCCCACUUUAUGCCCUGCUGUGCGUGGGGACGGCCGGGUGGAAACUGACUUUUGCAGGCUUCCAUUCCCAGACCUCCCAUGUCAUCUGGCUUGAGUCUGAGUGGUCACCAGAGUUGCUGCAGGAGAUGACAAGGCCAGAGGGAGGAAGGACAGUGUCCCUGACCUCUGCCAUGUCUCCUGGGGGUCCCCCUUCCCAGGGAUACCUCAGGCCAAGAACUUUCAGAACUCCUCUGCCUCACCUGAUCCCUCCACCCUGUGGAUGGAGUGGAAACUGAGAAGCAUGAGGCAGCCUUGCCCAGGCCACGUUAGCACAUAUGGGGAAGAGUCGAGGAGUGGAGGGUUUUCGAGUCACCCUUAUGACAGCCUGUAUGUUGACAGGACCAGUGACAUGCUGGUGCCAGCCACACCCAGGCAGCCCAACAGGAGCAGGGGAAGGGCUCCCCUGGGUGAAGCUGAGAAGAGAGCUGGGAAGAGGAUGGAGUGGAUGGAGUAGACACAUCUUGUCUCAAGGGCUGGAGAGUUUGGAGGCAACUGAAGAGCCACUUGGAAAACGUCCCUCCGAUUGCCAUUGCCGGCAGAUCAGCUCGCUUGUGUGCUGCAGAGGGCUCGUGCACAGAUCUCAAACACUGGGCCUCUUUAAAAUGAAUAUGAAAUGCGCCCGUUUCUAGUAUUUCGUGAGAAGCAUUUAUGAAGGUUGAAGAGCUGUUAUCUGAGAUUCGUAGCCCAAGUCAGUGAGAUAGACUCUCCUAAUUAGUAAGACAAGGAGGACUGGAAAGUUGCUAAAGCUACCUGGCAGGCCUUGGAGCCCGCUGUCACCACCACAAUGACAGUCUUGCCUUCUCUGCUGAGCCUGUUGUACUGUCAGGAUGCAAUUUCUCCUCUCCGAGUGGGUUGGUGGAUGCACUGCCGAUUAGAUGGAAGUGAGUGCAAACCAUGACUCAGGAGGCUCCAGGAGGCUCCAGGAGGCUUCGGGAGGGUGGUGAUUGAUCGAAAAGGAGCCAGGGGGGAUCAAAGAGGAGCCGGAGGACAAGAUGCUCAGUUCAUGCCCAAUGAGUACAGGGAAGGGAGAAGGGAGAGCUUUGCCCCUGCCACGAGCAUAGCCUCUUGCCUUGACUUCCCCAAAGCCCAGGACACUUUCCUUUCUGUCUUCUGAGGGCAUUUCCCACUUGUCCCCAGCCUUUGCGUGACAAGUUCAAUUCUAUAACUUCUCCAUAUUCUUUUAUUGUCCACUCUUGAAUUUUUCUGCAUUCAAACGUGAAUUUUUGCCUCCAUGUCUAAGGCUUAUUUCUAAUCCCUUUGCCCUGCUGGAAAAGCCUUCCCCUCUCCUCUCCUCUCCACUCAUUCAAGUCCUGCUCAUCCUUCCAGGGAUAGCCAGGCUCCUCUUCCAGAAAGCCCCACCCUGCAAUGCUCUCUGACAGCUAAUUACCAGGUUACCUCCAACCCAGAGCUUGCCGCUCUCCCCCACAUGAGGGGUACACUUGUUGGAAGUAAGGUGGAAUGUUCUGCUUCUUUGCACUAGAUGGCACAUUCCUAAUGCAAGGAGAGAGAGAGAGAUCAUACUGAAACCAGGUACUACCUGGCCUUAGGGUAUGUCCACCAUCCUCCCCAGACACUGGUGAAUAAAGAGGGCUUUUAUCUGUUGAGAGCUUCUGAAAGCUGUGUUUUACAUGAAUCAUCUCAUUCAAUCUUUCUAACAGUCCUCUGUACUAGUCUGUUUGUUGCUAUAACAGAGGCUGGGUAAUGUAUAAUGUAUAAAGAAAAGAGGUUUAUUUAGCUCAGUUUGGAGACUGGAAAGUUCAAGAUCGGGUGUCCCCAUCUGUUUGGCCCCUUCGAGGGUCCCCUUAGCUGUGUCACAACAUGGCGGAUGGCAUAUGGUAGGGAGAUCACCUGAUGAGGCAGGAAACCAGAAAGAUUUCAGGGGCCAGGCUUACUCUUUUUAUAGCAAAUUGCUCUUAUGGGAAAAAGCCAAGAUCCCUUCCAAGGGCACAGACCCCAAUGACCUAAUUGCUAUCCACUGAGACAUUCCUCUUAAAGAUGCUGUUAGCACCCAACAUUGUUGCACUAAGGAUCUGGCUUCCUCACACAAACCCUUGUGGGGGACACACGCAAAUCAUUUCCAAACCAUAGCAACUUAAGAGAUAAGUUCUCUUAUUCCCCCCUUUUAUGGAUGAGGAAAGGGAGGCUUAGUGAAUUUAAGAUCACAAUAUAGUUCGGGGCUGAAUCCGAAUUCAGGCCAGGUCUGGCUUAUUCCAGCAUCUUUCCUUAUCCCUUGCACUCAAACACAAGAAACAGGCCAGGGCUGGUCUUUUCUCUGACAUGAGCACCAAGCAAGGGUGUGCUGGCCGCUAGUCCCCUCUUGCUCUCCACCCUAGCACCAGGCACAUGACACAACUACAGUCCCUUGAGACUCUUCCAGGAAGCUGACACUUGCCUUCUUGCUGAAGCAAAGGAGCUGUAUGCUCUAGUGUCAUGGUGACAAAGACUCUGAAAUUGCCAGGUUGAAAGGACACAGGAGGACAGUCCACACAAUGACCUGCAUUUAUGGCUUCUGCAGUAUUGCUGCUAUCGAAGCUGCUCUGGCAAAGGUCCCCAGCGAUUUUCUGAAUGAAGCUACACUCACAUUCAAAUGAAUACUCAUCAUUGGUGUCCCCCAGGAUCCUCUGGAGAAGUCAGUCUUGUGUUCCAGGCAUGCAUCCCAUAUGUGAAAAACACAGGGAACACCUGUGUUCCGGAAUUGUCUCUAUCCCAAGCUAUAGGUCACCAAGAAUCUGCCUAACAACCUCAAAGUCACAUCCUGCCUGAAGAGUUGAUUUCUCCAACCCUUCUUAGGAGUCAGGCUCCCUUCUCUUCUGUAAUUCAUGAACAUGGAAUUGCAUGCCAAUUUGUUGAUUCAUUCAUUCACUUGCUCAUUUCAUUUAUUUAACAAUGAAUCCCUUACUAGAUAAAUACUUACUCUGCUCCAAAUCAACUCUGUAAGGGGCUAGGGCUAAUGUUUGGGUAAGAGUUUCCUCCCACAGAGCAUUCAGGCAGGUCCGUUCCUGCCCUUAACAGACAAGUGAUGGGAAGCAGCCACCGACUCUCCCACCCAGACUGGUCAUCAAGAGGCAGUUCAGUGCAGCCCCCUGCCAUUUAAACCUGCCCCUCAAUUUGAUAGCAUGCUGUCACCCUGGCUAUCAGUUAGUGGCCGGGAAAACUUGGGUGUUUCUUCAAUGGACUGAGUCUAGACUUGUUCACCUUUAAAACGCAGCAGGAAGCCGGGCCUGUCUCAUGGAGAGGUGAGGGUUGAAUGGAACCAUGUGUAGAGAACCUUCAGCGCUUCUGAAACCUGGGUUCUCUGAUCAAGGUCAAGACCCAGGAGCAGGGAGCCACAGAGGGCCACUUGGUGGCCCUUCAGGGUAAGACUUUAGCCUCUAAAUAAUCUGCUGGUCCCCCGAGCAGCAAUGUCAGUAACAGAGACCUGAGACAGAGUGGCCCACUGGGCUGAGACCCUGGCACCAGACACAUCCUAUAGACAGUGGGGAGCACUCAGGCAGCGAUGGGUGGUGGAGGGCAUGGCGCCGUCUGCUGGAACAGGGGUCUGGGGGGAGGGAGAGGUCAGAGGGCACCAGGGAUCUCCCCAGGAUAGGUGCUGCUCAAAUCGAAAAGCAAAAUUGAGGGGUGGGGAGGGACAAGGUCAUCAUUUUAACCCAACUUGUCGGUCCCUAUUUUAUUCCUUGUGGCCUUUAUUUCUUUCUUUUAAAAAAUCCUCCCAAGUUGCUAGGUCCUGAGGAAACACCUAGUAUAUUUUUAUAACAUUUACCAAAUGAAGUUUUAUGAUGUUCUCAUUUAUAUUUUAUUCUUUUGGAAAAUAAAGUUCUCUGAAAUACCUCUGGAGGAUGUACACUUGUACACACACACACUCACACACACACACACACACACCUGCUAGCCGUAGUUGCUUUGGAGGUGGAGAACCGGGUGGAAGGGAGCCUGGAUUUUC